CCCUGGUCCCUGCGGCCAGCCCCCAUCGGCCCCUGGUGCUAAACCAUUUGUAGAGACCUGCUUCUGAGUCAGGGUUUCAUAUGUAGCAGAGAAGCUCCCUCACUGCCAUUUAUUGAAAGUCAGCC